rnacentral:rRNA from 1 species
AGUGAACGCUGGCGGUAGGCCUAACACAUGCAAGUCGAACGGCAGCACAGUAAGAGCUUGCUCUUACGGGUGGCGAGUGGCGGACGGGUGAGGAAUACAUCGGAAUCUACUUUUUCGUGGGGGAUAACGUAGGGAAACUUACGCUAAUACCGCAUACGACCUACGGGUGAAAGCAGGGGAUCUUCGGACCUUGCGCGAUUGAAUGAGCCGAUGUCGGAUUAGCUAGUUGGCGGGGUAAAGGCCCACCAAGGCGACGAUCCGUAGCUGGUCUGAGAGGAUGAUCGGCCACCCUGGAACUGAGACACGCUCCAGACUCCUACGGGAGGCAGCAGUGGGGAAUAUUGGACAAUGGGCGCAAGCCUGAUCCAGCCAUACCGCGUGGGUGAAGAAGGCCUUCGGGUUGUAAAGCCCUUUUGUUGGGAAAGAAAAGCAGCAGGUUAAUACCCCGCUGUUCUGACGGUACCCAAAGAAUAAGCACCGGCUAACUUCGUG